GACGAACGCUGGCGGCGUGCUUAACACAUGCAAGUCGAACGGAAAGGCCCUGCUUUUGUGGGGUGCUCGAGUGGCGAACGGGUGAGUAACACGUGAGUAACCUGCACUUGACUUUGGGAUAACUUCAGGAAACUGGGGCUAAUACCGGAUAGGAGCUCCUGCUGCAUGGUGGGGGUUGGAAAGUUUCGGCGGUUGGGGAUGGACUCGCGGCUUAUCAGCUUGUUGGUGGGGUAGUGGCUUACCAAGGCUGUGACGGGUAGCCGGCCUGAGAGGGUGACCGGCCACAUUGGGACUGAGAUACGGCGCAGACGCCUACGGGAGGCAGCAGGGGGGAGUAUUGCACAAUGGGCGGAAGCCUGAUGCAGCAACGCCGCGUGCGUGAUGACGGCUUUCGAGUUGUAAACCGCUUUCGCCUGUGACGAGGCGUGAUUGACGGUAAUGGGUAAAGAAGCACCGGCUAACUACGUG
rnacentral:rRNA from 1 species